CUUAAAUUCAAGUAAUACAAAGAAGAGAGAAGAUAAAGGAGCACAAGAAUAGAAUCCAAUAAUAAAGGAACGAAUCAAAGUUCACUAACUAGAAAUAUCCCGAAUUACCAUAGUUAUAGAUGCCUAAUUGGAAAAGUUAGUGGGUUUUUUUAUUGGUUCAGUGUGAUCUUGGUCUUCUAAAGAUUCUUUACCAUUCUGAAUUAGAUAUUUAGUUGGGUGUAUAGGACUUUCAGUAUAAUGAAUUAUCAAGGACAAAUGAACCAUUU